UACGUAGGGGGCAAGCGUUGUCCGGAUUUAUUGGGCGUAAAGAGCGUGUAGGCGGCCAGACAAGUCCGUCGUGAAAUCCUGUGGCUCAACUACAGGCUUGCGGUUGAUACGGGUGGGCUGGAGUUCGGUAGGGGAGACUGGAAUUCCUGGUGUAGCGGUGAAAUGCGCAGAUAUCAGGAGGAACACCGGUGGCGAAGGCGGCUCUCUGGACCACAACUGACGCUGAGGCGCGAAAGCUAGGGGAGCAAACAGG
rnacentral:rRNA from 1 species